GAUGAACGCUGGCGGCGUGCCUAAUACAUGCAAGUCGAGCGAACAGAUAAGGAGCUUGCUCCUUUGACGUUAGCGGCGGACGGGCGAGUAACACGUGGGUAACCUACCUAUAAGACUGGAAUAACUCCGGGAAACCGGGGCUAAUGCAGGAUAACAUGUUGAACCGCAUGGUUCUACAGUGAAAGGCGGCUUUGCUGUCACUUAUAGAUGGACCCGCGCCGUAUUAGCUAGUUGGUGAGGUAACGGCUCACCAAGGCAACGAUACGUAGCCGACCUGAGAGGGUGAUCGGCCACACUGGAACUGAGACACGGUCCAGACUCCUACGGGAGGCAGCAGUAGGGAAUCUUCCGCAAUGGGCGAAAGCUUGACGGAGCAACGCCGCGUGAGUGAUGAAGGUCUUCGGAUCGUAAAACUCUGUUAUUAGGGAAGAACAAAUGCGUAAGUAACUGUGCGCGUCUUGACGGUACCUAAUCAGAAAGCCACGGCUAACUACGUG
rnacentral:rRNA from 1 species